rnacentral:rRNA from 1 species
ACAUGCAAGUCGAGCGAAUGACGAGAAGCUUGCUUCUCUGAUUUAGCGGCGGACGGGUGAGUAACACGUGGGCAACCUGCCCUACAGAUUGGGAUAACUCAGGGAAACCUGGGCUAAUACCGGAUAAUCCUUCGAAUCACAUGUUUUGAAGUUGAAAGGCGCUUCGGCGUCACUGUAGGAUGGGCCCGCGGUGCAUUAGCUAGUUGGUGGGGUAACGGCCUACCAAGGCAACGAUGCAUAGCCGACCUGAGAGGGUGAUCGGCCACAUUGGGACUGAGACACGGCCCAAACUCCUACGGGAGGCAGCAGUAGGGAAUCUUCCACAAUGGACGAAAGUCUGAUGGAGCAACGCCGCGUGAGUGAUGAAGGUUUUCGGAUCGUAAAACUCUGUUGUAAGGGAAGAACAAGUACGUUAGGAAAUGAACGUACCUUGACGGUACCUUAUUAGAAAGCCACGGCUAACUACGUGCCAGCAGACGCGGUAAUA